ACGGAGGAUCCGAGCGUUAUCCGGAUUUAUUGGGUUUAAAGGGUGCGUAGGUGGUUUAAUAAGUCAGCGGUGAAAGUUUGCAGCUUAACUGUAAAAAUGCCGUUGAAACUGUUAGACUUGAGUGUAAAUGAGGUAGACGGAAUGCGUGGUGUAGCGGUGAAAUGCUUAGAGAUCAGACAGAACUCCGAUUGCGAAGGCAGCUUACCAAGCUACAACUGACACUGAAACACGAAAGCGUGGGGAUCAAACAG
rnacentral:rRNA from 1 species